rnacentral:rRNA from 1 species
AUAACGGUCCUAAGGUAGCGAAAUUCCUUGUCAGGUAAGUUCUGACCCGCACGAAUGGCGUAAUGAUUUGGGCACUGUCUCAACAGCCCGCCCGGCGAAAUUGUAGUACUGGUGAAGAUGCCAGUUACCCGCAACUAGACGGAAAGACCCCAUGGAGCUUUACUGCAGCUUAAUACUGAAAUUCGGUAGUACAUGUACAGGAUAGGUGGGAGACUGAGAAAUACAGGCGUCAGCUUGUAUGGAGUCGCUGUUGGGAUACCACUCUUGUACUGCUGGGUUUCUAACCUGCGGCCGUGAAUCCGGUCGGGGGACACUGUUAGGCGGGCAGUUUGACUGGGGCGGUCGCCUCCAAAAGAGUAACGGAGGCGCUCAAAGGUUCGUUCAGCACGGACGGAAAUCGUGCAUUGAGUGUAAACGCAUAAACGAGCCUAACUGCGAGACCGACGGGUCGAGCAGUAACGAAAGUUGGAGUUAGUGAUCCGGUGGUAUGUGAGUGGAAAUGCCAUCGCUCAACGGAUAAAAGUUACCCUGGGGAUAACAGGCUGAUCUCCCCCAAGAGUCCACAUCGACGGGGAGGUUUGGCACCUCGAUGUCGGCUCAUCGCAUCCUGGGGCUGUAUUCGGUCCCAAGGGUUUGGCUGUUCGCCAAUUAAAGCGGCACGCGAGCUGGGUUCAGAACGUCGUGAGACAGUUCGGUCCCUAUCUGUUGCGGGCGUAAGAGAUUUGAAGGGAGCUGUCCUUAGUACGAGAGGACCGGGAUGGACGUACCUCUGGUGCACCAGUUGUCCUGCCAAGGGCAUAGCUGGGUAGCUAUGUACGGACGAGAUAAACGCUGAAAGCAUCUAAGCGUGAAACUCCCCCUAAGAUGAGAUCUCUCAUCCUUCAAGGAGUAAGGACCCAGAAAGACGAUCUGGUUGAUAGGCCGAAGGUGGAAGCGCAGUAAUGUGUGCAGCUGAUCGGUACUAAUAGUCCGAGGGCUUGACCUA